GAUGAACGCUGGCGGCGUGCCUAAUACAUGCAAGUCGAGCGAACAGACGAGGAGCUUGCUCCUCUGACGUUAGCGGCGGACGGGUGAGUAACACGUGGAUAACCUACCUAUAAGACUGGGAUAACUUCGGGAAACCGGAGCUAAUACCGGAUAACAUGUUGAACCGCAUGGUUCAACAGUGAAAGACGGUUUUGCUGUCACUUAUAGAUGGAUCCGCGUCGCAUUAGCUAGUUGGUAAGGUAACGGCUUACCAAGGCAACGAUGCGUAGCCGACCUGAGAGGGUGAGCGGCCACACUGGAACUGAGACACGGUCCAGACUCCUACGGGAGGCAGCAGUAGGGAAUCUUCCGCAAUGGGCGAAAGCCUGACGGAGCAACGCCGCGUGAGUGAAGAAGGUCUUCGGAUCGUAAAACUCUGUUAUUAGGGAAGAACAAAUGUGUAAGUAACUAUGCACGUCUUGACGGUACCUAAUCAGAAAGCCACGGCUAACUACGUG
rnacentral:rRNA from 1 species